rnacentral:rRNA from 1 species
AUGCGUGAUCAGGUCGGCAUGGACCUGGACGGCUUCCCACUUGACCACGAGUUUCCGGACGACUACGGGCAAGAGGAAGAGGACGAGUGCGACAUCGAAGUGGACCCUUUUUUCGAGGACGAGCUCGCCAACCAAGCCGCCGGUCCAAAGCCGAAGCGCAAGAGCAAGCGCACGAAGGCAUACACGGCGGCCGAGGACAAGCUUCUUUGCGAGUGUUGGCGAGACAUUGGACAAGAGACCAAGACGGGCGCCGAACAAAAGCAUUCAACUUUUUGGAUUCGUGUCCACCGGGAGUUUCAUGAGCGCAAGAAGUUUCCGCCUUACCAAAUUGUGAGCACGCGCGGGUGGGUGUCCAUUUCGAAGCGA